rnacentral:rRNA from 1 species
UACGUAGGGGGCAAGCGUUGUCCGGAUUUAUUGGGCGUAAAGAGCGUGUAGGCGGUUUGGUAGGUCCGUUGUGAAAACUCGAGGCUCAACCUCGAGACGCCGAUGGAAACCAUCUGGCUAGAGUCCGGAAGAGGAGUGUGGAAUUCCCGGUGUAGCGGUGAAAUGCGCAGAUAUCGGGAAGAACACCCGUGGCGAAGGCGGCACUCUGGGACGGUACUGGACGCUGAGACGCGAAAGCGUGGGGAGCAAACAGG